GUCAAAAACUGCACAGUUAAGCCACAUGUUAACUUGUUUUUAACCAUUCCAUGUUGUUUGUAGGAAGGUUGCCUUGGCUGCCUCCUACGAUUAACAUGAACAAUUUUCGGCGCGGAAUGCGUCAAGGAAAACGGACAUUAACGUAAGGCUAGCCCUCUUGCUGCUCUUUGGUUGUAUGGAGGGUGUUGCAUCGUGGAAAUAUUUGGUU
rnacentral:misc_RNA from 1 species